rnacentral:lncRNA from 1 species
CUUAGGUAAGUCGUUACACCUGGAGACUCCAGGCUUCCAACGCCAGAGAGUGGGACUGUCUCUGUGCAUCGACUUUUCCACUUAAAUCUCCUUCACGCACAAGUGUCUUUGUGCACAAGAACACACAAAGACAAUCGUCAUCCUCGGUUACCGAGAGACUACUACUAUUAGAAACUUGGCCUGGGGAACUCGAAGGUCCCUUCCAGCUCUGGCACUCUACGUGACAUUAUGGAAUUCGUAAGUAGAACCUGCUCGUGUUUAAAGGUUCCUUUGGGAGAUACUGACUUCAGAGGUGGCUGUCUAAUGACCUGCCCCCCUUUAUUACCUCUCCUCAACUUUAUGGCCUCUCUCUUUUCUCUAGAGGCAGAAGGAUGCUUGAUAUAGAGGCUGGCAAAUUGGAAACCCUUCAGAGACGUGAUUUCCAAGCCUGGAAGGAGUCUACGUGUACUCGUUGUCCCAUCCAGGGAUGUGGCCAGGACCUAAGGGAGAUGGUGAUAGUUUCUGGAGGAGGUAGAAGGAAGGAAGAAGGAGACCAUCAAGAAGCUUCCUAUUUCAAGUAAUUAUUUUUGCAGAUGAGAUGCUAUGUUCAAUGAUUUCUAACUGCUGGAAGAGUGUCCCUGGAAACCAUCUGAUGAUAAACAGGUUGCUAUGGGACAUUCAUCCAAAGUGAGUGGUCUGUCAAUGGAUGGAUUCCUGAAAAACUUGUGGUAACAGUCUAAUUGGGUAAAGCCAAAUCAUAUUUCCAAUGCCCUAGGGGACCUCACUAUUUAAUAAAAUCCUGUGGUGCGAAUAAUCA